CUUCAUGAGACUGUUUCGAUUUUUCUCUGGAUAUUCCAACAAUUCUGCUCCUAUUUAUGACUUGCUUUUCUAAGAUUAAAAGGACUAUGGGAGAAGAGGUGAUGGAAUAUUUCAGCUGUUCACAUGGUCCCUCACACGACACAUGGGGAUUCUGGAAGCUACAAUUCAAGAUGAGACUUUGGUGGAGACACAGCCAACCCAUAUCAGAUGGUUUUGAAUGAUCAAGACAUGGACAGACAAAAUCAAAGAUGAAGGGAACAGAAAAAUCCUUGUGCCAUCAUGAUUCAAGCCUCAAUGUAAACAGUGAGUACAUAUGUAUAACACAACCUCAGUUUUGUUAUAACAAUUUUUGUAUUUGAUUUGGUAAUUAGGACAACUAAAUUUAAUGUAUUUUUUUCUUUUUUAAUAGUGUUUCCUCAUACUGUACCAGAUGUCUUAAUCUCAUCAUCUGGAAUAAAUAA